CCUACGGGAGGCAGCAGUGGGGAAUAUUGGGCAAUGGGCGCAAGCCUGACCCAGCAACGCCGCGUGAAGGAAGAAGGCUUUCGGGUUGUAAACUUCUUUUCUCAGGGACGCAGAAAGUGACGGUACCUGAGGAAUAAGCCACGGCUAACUACGUGCCAGCAGCCGCGGUAAUACGUAGGUGGCAAGCGUUAUCCGGAUUUAUUGGGUGUAAAGGGCGUGUAGGCGGGAGCGCAAGUCAGAUGUGAAAACUCAGGGCUCAACCCUGAGCCUGCAUUUGAAACUGGCAAACUGGAGGGUGUGAGAGGAUAGUGGAAUUCCAGGUGUAGGAGUGAAAGCCGUAGAUAUCUGGAGGAACAUCAGUGGCGAAGGCGACUAUCUGGCACAUAACUGACGCUGAGGAGCGAAAGCGUGGGUAGCAAACAGGAUUAGAUACCCGAGUAGUC
rnacentral:rRNA from 1 species